rnacentral:rRNA from 1 species
UGCCCCAGUAACGGCGAGUGAAGCGGCAACAGCUCAAAUUUGAAAUCUGGCCCUUUCGGGUCCGAGUUGUAAUUUGUAGAGGAUGCUUUUGGCAAGGCGCCGCCCGAGUUCCCUGGAACGGGACGCCACAGAGGGUGAGAGCCCCGUCUGGCUGGCCGCCGAGCCUCUGUAAAGCUCCUUCGACGAGUCGAGUAGUUUGGGAAUGCUGCUCAAAAUGGGAGGUAUAUGUCUUCUAAAGCUAAAUAUUGGCCAGAGACCGAUAGCGCACAAGUAGAGUGAUCGAAAGAUGAAAAGCACCUUGAAAAGAGGGUUAAAUAGUACGUGAAAUUGUUGAAAGGGAAGCGCUUGUGACCAGACUUGGGCGCGGCGGAUCAUCCGGGGUUCUCCCCGGUGCACUUCGCCGCGUCCAGGCCAGCAUCAGUUCGUCGCGGGGGAAAAAGGCUUCGGGAACGUGGCUCCCCUGGGAGUGUUAUAGCCCGUUGCGUAAUACCCUGCGGUGGACUGAGGACCGCGCAUCUGCAAGGAUGCUGGCGUAAUGGUCACCA